GACGAACGCUGGCGGCGUGCUUAACACAUGCAAGUCGAACGGAAAGGCCCCUUUGGGGGUACUCGAGUGGCGAACGGGUGAGUAACACGUGAGUAACCUGCCCUUGACUUCGGGAUAACUUCAGGAAACUGGGGCUAAUACCGGAUAGGAAUCCUUGCUGCAUGGUGGGGGUUGGAAAGCUUCGGCGGUUUUGGAUGGACUCGCGGCUUAUCAGCUUGUUGGUGGGGUAGUGGCUUACCAAGGCUUUGACGGGUAGCCGGCCUGAGAGGGCGACCGGCCACAUUGAGACUGAGAUACGGCCCAGACGCCUACGGGAGGCUGAAGUGGGGAAGAUUGCACAAGGGGCGGAAGCCUGAUGCAGCAACGCCGCGUGCGGGAGGACGGCCUUCGGGUUGUAAACCGCUUUCAGCAGGAGCGAAGCUUGUGGUGACGGUACCUGCAGAAGAAGCACCGGCUAACUACGUG
rnacentral:rRNA from 1 species